rnacentral:lncRNA from 1 species
UAAUCUUCGAUACCGCUUUAUACUCACGAUCUUGUAUCCACUGACUGUCUCGUUAGAUUAAUCCAAUAAAUUUCAUUCACUCUGCAUACUCAAUCCUAUAGACACCCUUUUAAUUCUUCAUCACAGACGUAACUCGAUUUCACAAAACAGUCAAGAGUAAUCAAACCCACUUCAUUAAAAAAUCCCGAUUCACCAUUACAACACUGACUUCAGCUACGAUUGUCUCAGUCUUCCCAAAACCCUAUGAAAAAAAAACCCAAUUCUCUGUCUUUUUUUCCCACCCGAAG